rnacentral:ncRNA from 2 species
UAUUUUUGUGCAUGCAAAAGUGUCCCGAACGCCUUCCUGCGGGAAGCGUGCGACGGAUGAAAAGGGAAUGCAGUGAGAAUCUGCAACAAUACCCAUUGCUGUGAGUUCCUGCUCCGGAAGGAGUAAAAGGGGUUUCGCAAUCAAUUGCCACUGGCUUGCCGAAGUCGGGAAGGCGCGGAACCGGAACGAGUCAGAAGACCUGCUUUGUGCAUAGAUACCGA